GAUGAACGCUGGCGGCGCGCCUAAUACAUGCAAGUCGAGCGAACAGAUGAGGAGCUUGCUCCUCUGACGUUAGCGGCGGACGGGUGAGUAACACGUGGAUAACCUACCUAUAAGACUGGGAUAACUUCGGGAAACCGGAGCUAAUACCGGAUAAUAUAUUGAACCGCAUGGUUCAAUAGUGAAAGACGGUUUUGCUGUCACUUAUAGAUGGAUCCGCGCCGCAUUAGCUAGUUGGUAAGGUAACGGCUUACCAAGGCAACGAUGCGUAGCCGACCUGAGAGGGUGAUCGGCCACACUGGAACUGAGACACGGUCCAGACUCCUACGGGAGGCAGCAGUAGGGAAUCUUCCGCAAUGGGCGAAAGCCUGACGGAGCAACGCCGCGUGAGGGAUGAAGGUCUUCGGAUCGUAAAACUCUGUUAUUAGGGAAGAACAAAUGUGUAAGUAACUAGGCACGUCUUGACGGUACCUAAUCAGAAAGCCACGGCUAACUACGUG
rnacentral:rRNA from 1 species